rfam:Camelus ferus unplaced genomic scaffold scaffold365, whole genome shotgun sequence.
GAGGCUAUAGCACAAGUGGUAGAGCGCAUGCUUAGCAUGCAUGAUGUCCUGGGUUUAACCCCCAGUACCUCCU